CGUUGCGGUCUUGUGGCGUAUCGUUGCGAGUCAUGACGACACGCUGGCGGAAUUAUCGUUGUAUCGUAGAGAUUAUCCGACGAUAGUAGGACGGACAGGUUGCAAUACUCUCGCCCGAGGAGAUGGCGUUUUAGUAUAUU